rnacentral:rRNA from 1 species
GGGCCCGCACAAGCGGUGGAGUAUGUGGUUUAAUUCGAUGCAACGCGAAGAACCUUACCAGGGUUUGACAUCCUGCGAAUCUCUUGGAAACGAGAGAGUGCCUUCGGGAACGCAGUGACAGGUGGUGCAUGGCUGUCGUCAGCUCGUGUCGUGAGAUGUUGGGUUAAGUCCCGCAACGAGCGCAACCCACGUCGUUAGUUGCCAGCAUUUAGUUGGGCACUCUAGCGAGACCGCCGGUGAUAAACCGGAGGAAGGUGUGGAUGACGUCAAGUCAUCAUGCCCCUUACAUCCUGGGCUACACACGUACUACAAUGCUACGGACAAAGGGCAGCAAACUCGCGAGAGCUAGCAAAUCCCAUAAACCGUGGCUCAGUUCAGAUCGUAGGCUGCAACUCGCCUGCAUGAAGUUGGAAUC